AUUGAACGCUGGCGGCAGGCCUAACACAUGCAAGUCGAACGGUAACAGGAAGUAGCUUGCUUCUUUGCUGACGAGUGGCGGACGGGUGAGUAAUGUCUGGGAAACUGCCUGAUGGAGGGGGAUAACUACUGGAAACGGUAGCUAAUACCGCAUAACGUCGCAAGACCAAAGAGGGGGACCUUCGGGCCUCUUGCCAUCGGAUGUGCCCAGAUGGGAUUAGCUAGUAGGUGGGGUAACGGCUCACCUAGGCGACGAUCCCUAGCUGGUCUGAGAGGAUGACCAGCCACACUGGAACUGAGACACGGUCCAGACUCCUACGGGAGGCAGCAGUGGGGAAUAUUGCACAAUGGGCGCAAGCCUGAUGCAGCCAUGCCGCGUGUAUGAAGAAGGCCUUCGGGUUGUAAAGUACUUUCAGCGGGGAGGAAGGGAGUAAAGUUAAUACCUUUGCUCAUUGACGUUACCCGCAGAAGAAGCACCGGCUAACUCCGUG
rnacentral:rRNA from 1 species